CCAUAAGCCCGAACCAUCGAGGUGCUUAGGCACUUAGGAAAGUCCGGACAGCAUAGGGCAACCCACCGGUUAAGCGCCGGCCGUUUAUAUGGUAGCAUAUAAAUGAGAGAUAGUGCCACAGAAAAUAACUUCCGUUUUGCAAAAAGCGGACACAGGUGAAAAUGUGAGGUAAGAGCUCACAGCUUUUGUUGGUAACAGCAAAGGAGGGUAAACCUUGGGUGUUGUAAUGCCAUGUAUAGGAAUCUUUGAAAGCGGCUCGUUUGAUUCCAAUUUAUUGGAAGGGUUCCAGGGUAGGCAGCAAGAUUGUGUUAGUAAUAGCACAACUAGAUAAAUGAUGGUUUAGAAACAGAAUCCGGCUUACGAGGCUUAUGGUUUU
rnacentral:RNase_P_RNA from 1 species